UAGCCGUAUUAAAAAGCUUUAUUUGAUUGCACUCAUACUCUUAAACUCCCUACACCAUUUCAUAUAGUGGUCAUGUCACUGUAAUUUCUAUUCCAGCAGCAUAUGUGAUAUUCACAGGUUUAUUUUAAAUCAACAGGAAUGUUGCAUUUAAUUCCAGAUCGCUGAUGAAAUUGGUUGGUCAACACUGUUUCUAGUACAUACCACCAUAGGAUGCCAUUAGAAACAUACUCAUUCAGAGAAAAUUUCAUGUUAGCAACAGCUUUGCAAUCUGCCAUUUAGCAAGUUCUAAAUUCAUCUUAUCCAAGCUUUAUUGACACUAAUUGCUCAUUUUUGCAACCUUGCCAUGCAGUUGCUCAUUUUUGAAAAGCUCAGAUUAUCCUAUGCCAGCAAACAGUACACAUUAAACCACAGAAAUCUUUUAUGUCUACAUGACAGUAAUUAUCAGCCAAACACAUAAUUCAUAGUAAAAUCAGGCUGUAUUGACAAGAUUGGUUUCUUAACAGCAUCAUAUUGACUGUCAUGAAAUGGUAUUCACACCUUUUACCUCUAUUUACAUCUUCAUUAAUUAAAUCCUGUUAAUUUUUCUCCUAUUUUCAAGGGACAUACAUCAGGAUAGCAAGGUGAUGGCUCAUAUUAACCCAUUUUUUCCUUUUUACUGUACCAUCACCAAAGAAUUGAAGCAAUUGGCUGUACAUUUUGAUGGAAGUCACCCAGGUCUGCUGUUUUAUAAACAUUCUUCUUAAAGAUAUGAGAAAAUUUUUCUCACUUUUCAGUGGACUGAGAAACAUUUAAAUUAGCAUAGGCUUAUCAGCUGCUUUUCUCCAAAUACAGAAUAUAAGUAACUAUUGUCAAUUGCUUUCAUUUUAUGUCUAUUGAAGUUAUGAAUAGUCCUAUUUUCACUUUGCAAAGGUGGUCUUUUAUUACUUCAUUUGCUUGCACUAUGGCUCAAAAAAUCCUUCUUACGUGAAGCCUGGCAGACCUUUAUUGCUCUAAUUUCCUUACCUUCCUUUGUGUGUUUUCUCAAGUGCUAAGUUCUAACUGGUAGCUGUUGAUUACCCCUCUCUAACACUGUUACAAAGCACUGACCCUGUGGUUUACAUUUACUUGUUCACUUACAGUAGGAGGUUCAAAGCAGAGAACCAUCACACCUAUAUAAUAACAGCAAACCACAGGCCAUGAAAAGAAGAUGAACACCAUUUCCUCUGUCACAAUCUGAAAUAAAAGAACAUCUUAAACUUCUCCUGGUACCCCAAUCUUUGACUUUGCUGGACGCCUAAGCCACGUAGAGCAUCCAACAUGAAUUUGCCUUUAAGAGGACCAAUGGCCUGAGGGCAGGAGGUUUCAGGCUCAAUAUAACACACGUAGGGAACAUUUCUGAGUUGAAACCAUAGUUUCAUGCUCUCUGCAGCCCUGAACUGCUGUCGCUCUACUGAAGACAUUGAAGUCAAUAUUUCCAGGUUUGUUUCUUAAGAAAAUUAAAAUAUUGAAAGAAGCCUGGAGCUUGGAGGCUUGAGCACUUAUUCUUGAGAUUAGGAGUUCAUGUACUGGCUAUUUUGGGUGAUGACUGAGGUGUAGUGAGCUGUGCAACACAGCUAUUAUAUUUAGUAGGAUGGAGGGGCUGGUAAUCAGGAUCACAAUACUAACUCAGGUGGAAAGGAUCAGGAGGUCUCUGGCUCAAGCCCCUGCAUAAAGCAAGGUAAUCUUUGCACCACAUUGCUUGGGGGUUUAUCCAGUUGGGUCUUGAAAAUCCUCCCAGAGAGGAGAUUGACUGCACAGCUUCCUUGGGCAGGAUGCUUUGGUGCCUGACUGUCCUUGCAGUGAAAAACUUCUUAAAUCUCAUGAGAAUCUGACUAUGGUCCACCUAUCGUACCCAAAUACGAACAGCUUGGUUCCAUCUUUUCUGUGAACUCCUUGUAUUCAUUGGGCAUCUGUUAUUAAGUCUUUCCAAAGCCAUUGUACCUGCUGAUGGAAGAAGCCCACCUCUCUCAGCCUCUCCUCAUAAGGCAAGUGCUCCUGCCCCAGUCAUCUUGGAAGUUCUCUGCUGAACUUUCCUUGGGUCAUUGGUGCCUUUCUGGUGUUGCAGGGGGCAAAGCUUGACACAGUGCUCUAGAUGUGUCCAGCUAAUGAGUGCUGAGUAAAAACUUCCUUUAUCUAACAUGUCUUUCAGCCCCAAUCUUUUUCUUCACAUCUUUUCCAGGUCCCUUAAGUGGAUUGCUUGUACCCUGCCUCCAUUUUUCAUGUCAUUACCACUUCAGUACAACAAUUUGUUGCCCUUCUUUUGAAACUCUCACAGCUUUGCCUUGCAGUCUGCCUGAGUAAUCAGUAUUCCAAAAUAAAAGUGAUAGUGAAAAAAGUGAAAAGAUGAGCACAGGUCUGGUUUUGCUAAUGCUGGCUGCUGAGGCAGACUAUACAGGAGAAACCAAAGGAAAAAAAAAGUUCUUCUGUCCCUUCCCAGAACAGAGAGAACAAUAAUGCAUCAGUUUCCUACAGCAGCAGCUGCGGGGGCUUUUCUUUGCUAACAAAAUAUAUCCUCUCUGCCCAGCCUACAGCAAUUUGUAUCAAGGAAAGCCUCUCAGCACUGCCUUGUUAUUUAUUCUGCCUGCACGGCCCCUCGGUGUAGUGGCUGCCACCAAAGGCAGACUCAGGAUGAGGCAUUGCCAGAGAAUGUUAAAAGCAGAAAAAGUCCCAGAAGCCACACAAAUGGAUGCAAAAAUGUACAUUCUCUUCUCACUCCAGAAAAAAAAGCAGCAACUCUUAGUUGUACACAGACUUCACGGAACAUUUAGGCUAAAGAGCCCUGAAAAGUCAGGGGAAUCAUUCCAGAUGUUGUGAAAAUGGAUGUGAUUCUACACACAGAAUAUUGAACAUUUCCUUUUAUGAGGGUUGCCUGCAUCACUCGCUACAGUGGCCAGGCAGACCCAUUCAAGAUCAGACUUUUCUAUUAGGCAAGGAGCAAACCUCAGCCAUAUCUUGGUGAGCUCUGAAGCAUAUAUGCACAGGACUGCCCAGUAUGCCAUAAAAACUGUAGUUAAUACAAGAAUUAGGUAUCUCUGCAAGGAGAGGACAGAAUAUAUAAUAUUCAACAAUUGAAACAAGGCAAAUGUUCAUGGCAUUCCAAACUUCUGUGUGUUCUUGGAAUUUCAAAUUUCCAUACCUUCCUUUCUCCACGUGCUCUGUCACAAUCUUUUCCCACCCCAAGCCUUCUCUGUCCUUCCCAAGUGGUGAUCCCGGAUAUCACUUUUUUUUCCCAGGGUCUCUCAGACUCUUCCUGGUCUCCACCUGUGUGCUCUGUGCCAAGAGCAGCAGAGGAAACAAGGUUCAGAUUCAUCAGGUCUCCUUGGUUCUCAAAUGAUCCAUAAUCUGUGGAGCAGGAAGGAUGGGCUGAAAGCCCUGGUACAGCAAACAUGUCCUGAACCCUACAGAUUGCAGCAUCCCACUUGUGUAAUCUGAAGCUGUCACUGCCACUAAAGCAUCUUCGUUUAGAAGCAAAGAAAUGUUUAACUCUUAGAUUAGAUUGACCAGACCUUCAGCUGCCUUCCAGAUGGGCUUCAAAGUGCUGGCUCUAAUCAAAGUCUGUUGGCAAUUUCUCCAACAUUCAAAAUUGUUGGCUACCCUCUGGCUCUUUCCCUUUUAUUAAUUUGGUGUUUUAGGGAGUGGGGAUUAGGGGGCAUGUUGGACUUUUUUUUUUCUUCUUUAUCCAUUUGGGGUUUUUCCUUUCUCUUAUUUACAGCUGAAGAAGUGUUCUACCUUCUGUAUUGUUUUCUUUCUGUUCAAUGAAAAGGAUUAAAAAAAUGCAAUAUAAAAACAUUA